rnacentral:rRNA from 1 species
UACGUAGGGGGCAAGCGUUAUCCGGAUUUACUGGGUGUAAAGGGAGCGUAGACGGCAGCGCAAGUCUGGAGUGAAAUGCCGGGGCCCAACCCCGGAACUGCUUUGGAAACUGUGCGGCUCGAGUGCGGGAGAGGUAGGCGGAAUAAGUUAAGUAGCGGUGAAAUGCUUAGAUAUAACUUAGAACUCCGAUAGCGAAGGCAGCUUACCAGACUGCGACUGACGCUGAAGCACGAGAGCGUGGGUAGCGAACAGG